ensembl:lncRNA
CGCCGGGACGCCACGGAGCCACGUUGCACGGGAAUGAAGAACCAGAGGGAUUCGUCCUUGGUCCCCUGUGACACUGCUGGAGCGCAAGAUGUCCCUGCGGUGACAGCGAGAGACGUUCGAGGCGCGUCUUGGAGGAGACAUUGAGAGAAUUUCAACUCGUCACAGGAAGUCGUGUCAAAGCUCGCUUCUUUCACUAAACGGCCACGUCUUCCGUAGACGAAUGCAAUAAAAAGUCGGAUGGAAUCAGGGUGCAGAAUGAGUAAUGUCUUUUUUGACGACUACCAGCGUCAUGGAGGGACACUUUUUUGCAGGCGUGGCAUGCUACCAGAAUUUUGUAAUCUUGUCCUCAAGCAAAUUUGAGGGGAAUUUAACUCAAACAACUUCUAUUCUUAAAGAAUAUUUCGAUUCAGAGCAAGAUGGUUGUUUGUUUCACCUUUAUUCCAAACAGCUGAUUCUGACUCUGCGCUUUAAACGGAAUUAUCCCACCAAAAGAUUAAAACUACAGCUCGAAGCCCUGAAGGCCUUCUGUCAGGAAGCACAUGUGCUUCACGGAGCAGAUGAAUUCUUUUGAUAAUUUGAUGGAAUACAUUUUCCGCCGCAAUGUCUGGCUUCCUAUUUUAAUCUUCCGCUUCAUAUGAGUCUUC